GGGGCCCUUAGGGCGGCAGAGCCGGUCUUACCCUCACCAGGCAUGGCCGGGCAAAGCGGAUCGACAGUGUGAACUCAGUUCUACCAUGGAAAGUGGGACGGCCAAAGCCCACACCACAUCUGAGGCUUUGUGCCAGCAGCCCCAGGUCUGGACAUAGACAGGGAGAAACAUGGCAGCCCACCUGCCUGGACACCACAAAGAGGAAAAGCUGCAUUCAGGGGCUCCCUGCCCCCCUCCCCAGUCCCAACGCAGCCAAGGUCCCACUCCUCCUGAGGCACUCUGGCUCUUCCUUGACCUGGUCUGCCUGUGGCAACCUCACACAUGGUUUUGGAGCUACCCUUGUCUCAGGCCCAUGUCUGCAUAAAUCAGCAGGUAAGCAUGGAAAGUGGAAGUUAGAGACGGAGUCCCCAGAACAGUUGGGGGCCUGAGGGGUACUGCUCCGUGUAAAACAGUGUUAUUUGACUCUCUUUCUUUAGAUUCUUACAACCAGAAAACGAACAAACAGAAACAGAGACCCCCCGAGCCCCCAGGAUUGCCGAGCCUACACACCAGUUGCCCUGUGACCCAGGCAGCGAGAGACCCUUGGCCCAGACCCUCUUCCUUCUCACCUCGAAAGGCCUCUCCUGAGGCCCGUAUCAGUUGUGGCUGCUUGGAUUCUGGAGCCCCUGUUCAUAGCCCCCACCUGCCACGGGGUCUGGAUUUACAAGGGCUCCCAGCUCUGCUCCUCGUCGAAGGCGACGAACCAGUGUGCCCUUCCAGAAAGUGCAUGGUCAAAUGCCAAAGUCAAUUGCAAUGCAAAUAGCCAGAGAAAUGUACUUGAUUUACAGCCUGUGGUUUAACUGCUUUCAUGAGCCAUCAGGAAACCAGCCUUGAAAUAAUUCCUGGAGAAAGCACAGGUCAGCUGGAGACCACCAGGGCUGAUGUUGUAAGGAAGAGGAGUUUGAACUUCCAGAAGAGAAAAUAAAGCCUGAUGUGGAACAAGUUGCUCAAAGAGCCCAUGUUAGAGGACACUAGACACUUCACUGGAGGAGUGUCUCCCUGGAAGGGCCAUGUCAGUUGUGUGAGCAGAUGGCAUUUCUUUACCACCUGAUGGGCCAGAGCCAUCAGGCAGGUCUGCCUACCCUCUGUCCCCAUAUUAGGGCCAUCCCAGUGCUGCAGGGUCUCCUCAGCAAAUUGUCACGUUACUCAGAAUGACGUUGAUAUGUCUGCCUAUGAUAUGGCACCUGGUGGGUACUUUCCCUUGUAAAGGUCUUUCUUAAUGGCUGUCUAGGUUGGCCCUGUAAUCUUGUCAGGCAGAGGCAGGGGCAGCACUCCCACUUUCCUCUGACAGAGGCUGGGGAGGCUGAGGAGUUGGCCUAGGUGUGUACAAGUGAGCAGCGGGGGGUGGGGUUGGCCUCCUGUACUCUGCUUUCCGCCAGCUCUGGCCUCCCUGGGGGGCCUGAUGCCCAAGGCCCUAUGAGUCACCUGAACUUGCCUGCUGGAGCCAUGCAUUCAUAAUCUGCUUCUGAGCACCUCCAGGUGAGCCUUCCAAGCUGGCCUUUCAAAAAGCAAUCUCCACCUGUCCCCGGGGGAAAGUUCAGGAAGCCUCUCCAUUAAGACCCUGCAGUCCUGCUCCCGGUCUCCACCACAUGGAGGGUGAGGGGCUUUGAUGACUGGCUGCAGGAGUGCUGGCUUGGUUUCCCAAGACUUUCUCUGGUGGAAAGACUUCCAGGGGCUCCCUACACAGCCUCCCAUCCUCUGAAAUCCUGCAGAGGGUCCUGAUUUGAACCUAUUUCAGAGGCUUAUAAAGACUUCUUCCCCAAAGCCAGAGUUGUCACUUACUACACACAAAGUAUUCUUUUAGAAAACACAGAAUAUUUCUGAAAAGUUUCAGUAUAUCCUUGAAUGCCUCACACCAUGGUCAUUCCCAGAAUAAAAGGAAAGCAGUAAAGUCCUAACAGUUUGAUUUCAAAAACUGCACAAAACAGGCAUAGGACUCAAACUGACGCUCUGCCAAAUGUGAGGCGUACCUCACUGAGGGAUCGAGUCUCAGGGCCAGCGCUGGCCCAGGGACAGCAGAGCCCAGGAUUAGCGAAUCCAUCACAGGAAAUGACUUGGACUCUGCAGAGAAUCAUCAAGGUCCCUGGGUAGCCUGGCCACUCGCCGGUUGGGAGGAUCUCACCAUGCCCAGGAGCCCCAGGCAGAGAGGGCAGUCUUUUCUGUCUGCUCUGGGAGCCUCCACUGUGGCUCCCAUCAGUCUCUCUCUCUCUCUCUCUCUCUCUCUCGUUUUUUCCAAUCUUGGCAAAUAAAAUUUACCAUCUUAACCAUUUUUAAGUGUACAGUGAGUGGUAUGAAAUACUUUCAUAACAUUGUGCAACCAUCACCACCAUCCAUGUCCA
rnacentral:lncRNA from 1 species